rnacentral:snRNA from 1 species
AUACUAUGAUCUUGUAGCUGUCUUUCCCAGGGUGAGACUUAUCCAUUGCACUCCAGAUGUGCUAACCCCUGAGAUUUCCCCAAAUGUGGAAACUCAGCCGCAUCAUUUAUGGUAGUGGGAACUGCAUUUGUGCUCUCCCCGA